rnacentral:rRNA from 1 species
GACGAACGCUCGCGGCGUGCUUAACACAUGCAAGUCGAACGGAAAGGCCCUGCUUUUGUGGGGUGCUCGAGUGGCGAACGGGUGAGUAACACGUGAGUAACCUGCCCUUGACUUUGGGAUAACUUCAGGAAACUGGGGCUAAUACCGGAUAGGAGCUCCUGCUGCAUGGUGGGGGUUGGAAAGUUUCGGCGGUUGGGGAUGGACUCGCGGCUUAUCAGCUUGUUGGUGGGGUAGUGGCUUACCAAGGCUUUGACGGGUAGCCGGCCUGAGAGGGUGACCGGCCACAUUGGGACUGAGAUACGGCCCAGACUCCUACGGGAGGCAGCAGUGGGGAAUAUUGCACAAUGGGCGGAAGCCUGAUGCAGCAACGCCGCGUGCGGGAUGACGGCCUUCGGGUUGUAAACCGCUUUCGCCUGUGACGAAGCGUGAGUGACGGUAAUGGGUAAAGAAGCACCGGCUAACUACGUG